rnacentral:rRNA from 1 species
CCUACGGCUGGCAGCAGUAGGGAAUAUUGCUCAAUGGGGGAAACCCUGAAGCAGCAACGCCGCGUGGAGGAUGAAGGUUUUCGGAUUGUAAACUCCUUUUGUUAGAGAAGAUAAUGACGGUAUCUAACGAAUAAGCACCGGCUAACUCCGUGCCAGCAGCCGCGGUAAUACGGAGGGUUCAAGCGUUACUCGGAAUCACUGGGCGUAACGAGCGCGUCGGCGGGAUAGCAAGUCAGAUUGGAAAUCCUAUGGCUUAACCAUAGAACUGCAUUUGAAACUGUUAUUCUAGAGUAUGGGAGAGGUAGGUGGAAUUCUUGGUGUAGGGGUAACAUCCGUAGAGAUCAAGAGGAAUACUCAUUGCGAAGGCGACCUGCUAGAACAUAACUGACGCUGAUGCGCGAAAGCGUGGGGAGCAAACAGGAUUAGAUACCCGUGUAGUC